GAGUUUGAUCCUGGCUCAGGACGAACGCUGGCGGCAUGCCUAAUACAUGCAAGUCGAGCGGACUUGAAGAGAAGCUUGCUUCUCUGAUGGUUAGCGGCGGACGGGUGAGUAACACGUAGGCAACCUGCCCUCAAGCUUGGGACAACUACCGGAAACGGUAGCUAAUACCGAAUACUUGCUUUCUUCGCCUGAAGAGAGCUGGAAAGACGGAGCAAUCUGUCACUUGAGGAUGGGCCUGCGGCGCAUUAGCUAGUUGGUGAGGUAACGGCUCACCAAGGCGACGAUGCGUAGCCGACCUGAGAGGAUGAUCAGCCACACUGGAACUGAGACACGGUCCAGACUCCUACGGGAGGCAGCAGUGGGGAAUAUUGGACAAUGGGCGCAAGCCUGAUCCAGCCAUGCCGCGUGUGUGAAGAAGGCCUUCGGGUUGUAAAGCACUUUUGUUGGGGAAGAAAAGCUGUAGGUUAAUACCCUUCAGUUCUGACGGUACCCAAAGAAUAAGCACCGGCUAACUUCGUGCCAGCAGCCGCGGUAAUACGAAGGGUGCAAGCGUUACUCGGAAUUACUGGGCGUAAAGCGUGCGUAGGUGGUUCGUUAAGUCUGUCGUGAAAGCCCCGGGCUCAACCUGGGAAUGGCGAUGGAUACUGGCGGGCUAGAGUGCGGUAGAGGAGAGUGGAAUUCCCGGUGUAGCAGUGAAAUGCGUAGAGAUCGGGAGGAACAUCAGUUGCGAAGGCGGCUCUCUGGACCAGCACUGACACUGAGGCACGAAAGCGUGGGGAG
rnacentral:rRNA from 1 species